UACGGGGGGAGCGAACGUUGUUCGGAAUUACUGGGCGUAAAGGGCGCGUAGGCGGCCUCAUAAGUGAGAUGUGAAAGCUCCUGGCUCAACCAGGGAAAUGCGUCUCAUACUGCGAGGCUUGAGUGCAGGAGAGGAUGGGGGAAUUCCCGGUGUAGCGGUGAAAUGCAUUGAUAUCGGGAGGAACACCAGUGGCGAAGGCGCCCAUCUGGUCUGCUACUGACGCUGAGGCGCGAAAGCUGGGGGAGCAAACAGG
rnacentral:rRNA from 1 species